rnacentral:rRNA from 1 species
UACGAAGGGGGCAAGCGUUGUUCGGAAUUACUGGGCGUAAAGGGCGCGCAGGCGGCUGAUCAAGUCAGAUGUGAAAGCCCCGGGCUCAACCUGGGGAUAGCAUUUGGGACUGGUCGGCUAGAGUUCGGGAGAGGAGAGUGGAAUUCCCAGUGUAGAGGUGAAAUUCGUAGAUAUUGGGAAGAACACCGGUGGCGAAGGCGGCUCUCUGGACCGAUACUGACGCUGAGGCGCGAAAGCGUGGGGAGCAAACAGG